CUGCCUGAAAGCUCUACCACAUUCAGGACGUACAUACAGCUUUUUCUCCAAUGUAAAAUCUCAGACGUUGGGUGAAAAUGGAAGUGGUUCCAUAUCUCAAAGAAAGUCUAAAUAAGAACUUUUUUGACUUCCUCCUUACAUUCAAACAGGGCAUACCAGAAAGUCCACAGGAUGUGAAACGGCCUGCAGACCACUACUCCUUAGUACUCCAACCAAGCAUUUCCUCACCCCUGGACAGCUGUCUCACUCCUAUUUCUCA